rnacentral:rRNA from 1 species
UACGUAGGUGGCAAGCGUUGUCCGGAUUUACUGGGUGUAAAGGGCGUGUAGCCGGGCUGACAAGUCAGAUGUGAAAUCCCGCAGCUUAACUGCGGAACUGCAUUUGAAACUGUUGGUCUUGAGUACUGGAGAGGCAGACGGAAUUCCUAGUGUAGCGGUGAAAUGCGUAGAUAUUAGGAGGAACACCAGUGGCGAAGGCGGUCUGCUGGACAGCAACUGACGGUGAGGUUCGAAAGCGUGGGUAGCAA